GAAUAUAACCUAGUAGUUAGAGAGUCCGCCUCAGAUGCGGGAUGUCGUGGGUUCGAACCCCGGCUGAGUCA